CCGGGCGCCGAUAUCGGGCGUCCUCGGGGUGAAGCCGCAAAUGCGGCCGGGCAAUCCCAGCCCGAACCCGACAGCUCACUUCGCAGGCGUGGGGAAGGGCAUAA
rfam:Frankia sp. Dg2 genome assembly, contig: Dg2_contig363